rnacentral:rRNA from 1 species
UACGUAGGGUGCAAGCGUUGUCCGGAUUUAUUGGGCGUAAAGAGCUCGUAGGCGGUUUGUCGCGUCGGAUGUGAAAACCCAGGGCUCAACCCUGGGCCUGCAUUCGAUACGGGCAGACUAGAGUAUGGCAGGGGAGACUGGAAUUCCUGGUGUAGCGGUGAAAUGCGCAGAUAUCAGGAGGAACACCGGUGGCGAAGGCGGGUCUCUGGGCCGAUAUUGACGCUGAGGAGCGAAAGCGUGGGGAGCAAACAGG